CCUACGGGAGGCAGCAGUGGGGAAUAUUGCACAAUGGGGGAAACCUGAUGCAGCGACGCCGCGUGAGUGAAGAAGUAUUUCGGUAAGGAAAGCCCUAUCAGCCGGGAAGAAAAUGACGGUACCUUACUAAAGAGCCCCGGCGAACUACGGGCCAGCAGCCGGGGUACUACGUAGGGGGCAACCGUUCUCCGGAUUUACUUGGUGGAAAGGGGGCGUAGACGGCAGCGCAAGUCUGAAGUGAAAUCCCAUGGCUUAACCAUGGAACUGCUUUGGAAAGUGUGCAGCUGGAGUGCAGGAGAGGUAAGCGGAAUUCCUAGUGUAGCUGUGAAAUGCGUAGAUAUUAGGAGGAACACCAGUGGCGAAGGCGGCUUACUGGACUGUAACUGACGUUGAGGCUCGAAAGCGUGGGGAGCAAACAGGAUUAGAUACCCCAGUAGUC
rnacentral:rRNA from 1 species